CCUCCUCCCCUGCCCUUUUC
rnacentral:miRNA from 1 species